rnacentral:rRNA from 1 species
UUUGAUGGCGACCGGCGCACGGGUGAGUAACACGUAUCCAACCUGCCGAUGACUCGGGGAUAGCCUUUCGAAAGAAAGAUUAAUACCCGAUGGCAUAGUUCUUCCGCAUGGUAGAAUUAUUAAAGAAUUUCGGUCAUCGAUGGGGAUGCGUUCCAUUAGGUUGUUGGCGGGGUAACGGCCCACCAAGCCUUCGAUGGAUAGGGGUUCUGAGAGGAAGGUCCCCCACAUUGGAACUGAGACACGGUCCAA